rnacentral:snRNA from 1 species
UGGAUCCGUAACUUCGGGAAAA